GAUGAACGCUGGCGGCAUGCCUAACACAUGCAAGUCGAGCGAACAGACGAGGAGCUUGUUCCUCUGACGUUAGCGGCGGACGGGCGAGUAACACGUGGAUAACCUACUUAUAUGACGGGGAGAACUACGGGAAACCGGUGCUACUACUAGAGAAUAUAUUGUACCGCAGGGAUCAGUAGAGAAUGACGGUUUUGCUGUCUGUAUUAGAUGUUGCCGCGCCGCAUUAGCUAGUUGGUAAGGUAACGGCCUACCAAGGCGACGAUGCGUAGCCGAUCUGAGAGGAUGAUCGGCCACACUGGAACUGAGACACGGUCCAGACUCCUACGGGAGGCAGCAGUAGGGAAUAUUCGGCAAUGGGCGCAAGCCUGACCCAGCCAUACCGCGUGGGUGAAGAAGGCCUUCGGGUUGUAAAGCCCUUUUAUUGGGAAAGAAAAGCAGCAUAUUAAUACCUCGAUGUUUUGACGGUACCCAAUCAAUAAGCACCGGCUAACUUCGUG
rnacentral:rRNA from 1 species